GACGAACGCUGGCGGCGUGCUUAACACAUGCAAGUCGAACGAAGAGCGAUGGAUGCUUGCUUCUAUCAAUCUUAGUGGCGAACGGGUGAGUAACGCGUAAUCAACCUGCCCUUCAGAGGGGGACAACAGUUGGAAACGACUGCUAAUGCCGCAUACGAUCUGACCUCGGCAUCGAGGAUAGAUGAAAGGUGGCCUCUAUUUAUAGGCUAUCACUGAAGGAGGGGAUUGCGUCUGCUUAGCUGGUUGGGGGGGUAACGGCCCACCAAGGCGAUGAUCAGUAGACGGUCUGAGAGGAUGGACGGCCACAUUGGGACUGAGACACGGCCCAGACUCCUACGGGAGGCAGCAGGGGGGAAUCUUCCGCAAUGGACGAAAGUCUGACGGAGCAACGCCGCGUGAGGGAUGACGGCCUUCGGGUUGUAAAGCUCUGUUAAUCGGGACGAAAGGCCUUCUUGCGAAUAGUUAGAAGGAUUGACGGUACCGGAAGAGAAAGCCACGGCUAACUACGUG
rnacentral:rRNA from 1 species